rnacentral:rRNA from 1 species
UACGUAGGGUGCGAGCGUUAAUCGGAAUUACUGGGCGUAAAGCGUGCGCAGGCGGUUCGUUGUGUCGGCGGUGAAAGCCCCGGGCUCAACCUGGGAAUGGCAUUUGAUACUCUGAGGCUGGAGUACGGGAGAGGAGAGUGGAAUUCCCAGUGUAGAGGUGAAAUUCGUAGAUAUUGGGAAGAACACCGGUGGCGAAGGCGGCUCUCUGGACCGUAACUGACGCUGAGGCGCGAAAGCGUGGGGAGCAAACAGG